rnacentral:lncRNA from 1 species
GUUACUGCUUCUGCCUGCUCAGCCUCCUUCCCCGAUCUCUUAAUUCUCUAUAUCUUCUGUUCUCAACUUAACUCCACCCAUUAAAUCAUCAAAGAAGCUGAUUUGGGGUGUGUGCCUGUGUGUGUGUGUUUUAGCUUAUUUUUAGCUAGGACUAGCGCAUGUACAAGUGGCCAAAACUAGUGAAGUAUAACAAGUUAACAGCAGAGUCAAGGAUGACACUAUUUAAGCUUUUCUCGGAGUUGAAAGUGAUAACACACCACCACAUGGUCAAGUGAAUCAUAACCUGCUGGGGCUUGAGGUAUGGAAGACGAACAGUGGAGGAAAAGGUAUCUUCCAGCCUGGUGAAAUGCCGUGGAAAUGUGAGGCCAUUUAUUUUUUCUAAAUGCCCCAGCAACAGCUCUCAUUCACUUGCAGAAGCAAGAGCUGUUCUGACUACUCACAGUAUAUGGUGAGAUCUUUAUUUCUUUGCCUUUUUUUUUACUGUGAGUUUCCUUUUUUGUCAUCAUUGACCUUAUAAUGAAUCACUGCACUGUCUGAGUAAUGAGGCUGCAGUAGAUAAGGUCUCCUGAGAAUAUGAAGGAAGAAGUAUGUUCAGCAACUGAUUACUGACUUAUCCACCUGAUUAUAGUGACCAAUCUACUCAUAUAUCUGAUUUCAAAUGCCCAAUACAAUGUUAAUAAUCUUAUUAAAACUUCUUUGCAGUAAA